UGUAGGCCUACUAGGGACCAGAUGUUUAAUUGAAAAGCAAAAACAACAAGCUAGUAGCACUGUAGAAUUGUAUUUUUAAAAGCAGCUGUCAACAAAAAACAGCAGCCAAUUUGAUUCAUGUUUAAGAUAUUUUUUUGUUUAUUACAUUGUUUUCAGUUACGGGACACCCUGUUGUUGUUUAGCCUUACAUAGAGAUUAGGGUUAGACUUGUAACCCUAUAAUGACAUAGUGAUUGUAUGUCAGUGGCUUUGGAUAAACGUAAUGCUGAAUGAUUAAAUACCCCUUAAUAUGAAUUGACAUGACAACCACACAGGUCAUGUCAAUCCGUAAUGUUGUAACCAUGACCACCACACAGGGUGUAAAAUCUGUAAUGUUGUAACCAUGACCACCACAGAGUGUACAAUCUGUAAUGUUGUAACCAUAACUACCAGACAGGGUGUAUAACUAAUAAUGUUGUCAUCUUCACGUUUAAAAUCUCACUUCAAUAUUCCUUCAUUGGAUUCUGAUGGGACUGGAUAAAUAGGUCAUUCUGGUCUGAAAAUGAUGAUUUAUAGAUAAUUUUACAGUAGGGCGGAAGAGUGGGAGAGAACAAGUGAAGACACAGAUUUCCACAGGACCAGUACUUUACUUGACAAUCAAGAGUCACCAACUACAUCGGCCACAAGAGCAGCAAUCCAUCACAUAUCGGACUCAGUGGUGAAGCCUGUUCAGGUCGGAGCUGACUCUGUAGUGAAGCCUUUUCAGUUCAGAGGGGACUCAGUGGUGAAGCCUGUUCAGUUCAGAGCGGACUCAGUGGUGAAGCCUGUUCAGUUCAGAGCGGACUCAGUGGUGAAGCCUGUUCAGUUCAGAGCGGACUCAGUGGUGAAGUCUGUUCAGUUCAGAGCGGACUCAGUGGUGAAGUCUGUUCAGUUCAGAGCUGACUCAGUCGGAAAGCCUCUUUGGGUCAGAGCGGACUCAGUGGUGAAGCCUGUUCAGAUCAGAGCUGACUCAGUAGUGAAGCCUCUUUAGGUCAGAGCUGACUCCGUGGUGAAGCCUGUUCAGGUCAGAGCUGACUCAGUGGUGAAGCCUCUUUAGGUCUGAGCUGACUCAGUAGUGAAGCCUCUUUAGGUCAGAGCUGACUCAGUGGUGAAGUCUGUUUUAUCAUGCGAAUAUAAACAGGCAGAGCCAACACAGCAGGCUUACAAUUUGCUUUGCAAGAUAAAAAUAAAGAUGUCUUAAUGAGAAAUGCUUCUGUUAUAUACAAGAGGAUGGUCACAUGCUCCCUCCAAGGGUAGAAUCUCUUAUCAUAAGCAUAGCCAAGCAUUCACUUCAACCACUGACACUAUGGGAUUGAAUGGAGAGAACACAAUCAUUUAAAGGUAGUCUUUCAUACGUAAAAUUAUUUGCCCCUCACCACUAAAUAAAUGGUGGUAUAUUGCAGUAUACACUGUGAAUUAUGUGUGUAUCUAUGCACAGGCUGUGAAGCGAGGAUGCCAGAGAAACAGCUCCUUAACCCUAAAAAUAACCCUGACACUAACAUAACCCUAACGCACAUUAACCAACGCAAACACUAUAACACAUUAUCUAACACUAACCCUGACACGGUCAUAACCCUGACAAUAACAUCACCCUGACAUUAACAUAACCCUGACAAUAACAUAAGCCUGACACUCACACUAACAUAACCCUGACACUAACAUAACCCUGACACUCGCAUAACCCUGACACUAACAUAACCCUGACACUCACACUAUCCCUGACACUAACAUUAUCCUGACACUCACACUAACCCUGACACUAACAUAACCCUGACACUCACACUAACCCUGACACUAACAUAACCCUGACACUAACACUAACCCUGACACUAACAUAACCCUGAUGCUACGGCCACACUGCACGCGUUACUCGCGUUAAGAAACGCGCAUGACGCGCCUAACCUGACGCUUGAUCAUUGUGUGUCACAAAAAUAGUUCAACGCGAGUCCGAGGUAGGAAACCCAAACGCCGCCGUGUUUGGGUGCAUGAUAGAGUUUAGAUCGAGUUUGAUUAAAUAAUCUCGGAUAUAAAUAACAAUUGAUUGGCUAUCGCGGCUAAGCGUCACACGUAGGCGCGUCAAAAGUUCACAUUUUUUAACUCUGCGUGUUGGUGCGUUGGGCGCGUUGGUGCGUUUACGUGCGUCAUUACGUGCGUAUGCCGCGUCUAACGCCACUAACGCACCGGUUUAACGCUUGUAACGCGUCUACGCACCUACACCAAUGGUUCCCUAUGCAAAAAUGACGAUUUUCAACGCCUCUAACGCGCAUAAUGCGUGCAGUGUGGCCACACCUUGACACUUACAUAUCCCUCACACUAACCCUUACCCUCACAAUAACCCUGACCCUAACCCUGACAGCUAAUGGUUCCAUAGCACCAUGGCAGCAUUGCUCUUCAAUACUGGAAGCCCCUGAACAGAAUCAUGCUAAAGAAUAGAGGGUUAUAAAUGAAAUCAUACCCCAUGACCCGAAUCAUGCCAAAGAAUAGACAGUUGAAAAUUAAAUUAUAACCAAUGAAAAGAAUCAUGCUAAAGAAAAGACGGUUGUCAAUGAAAUGAUACCCAAUGAACAGAAUCAUGCUAAAGAAUAGAGGGUUAUAGAGGAAAUGAUACCCCAUGAACAGAAUCAUGCUAAAGAAUAGAGGGUUAUAGAGGAAAUGAUACCCCAUGAACAGAAUCAUGCUAAAGAAUAGAGGGUUAUAGAGGAAAUGAUACCCCAUGAGCAGAAUCAUGCUAAAGAAAAGAGGGUUAUAAUCAGACCAAGGAGCUUUAAAGAGUAAGUCAUGUCCCUGGUGGACUUCCCUGGCUGCACCCCGGUAUUGGGGGCUGGAGCUGUAACUAGCGUUUAGUUCCUCACUAACAUCGACACAUCUUGACCACAUGGACCUUCUCUUAUUAUCUAGCACCCCCCGAGGCUGCUUUGGGGCGGCUGCGUCCCCGCUCCAGGGGAGCCGAAGUUCGGGGCUGCGUCUGGGGUGGAGUCCUGACGGAGAGGGGGGUUCUGGUGGGGAGCAGCCUGUGAGGGGAGGGACUGUCAGUCCUGCAGUGGGUGGAGCUGAGACUGCGGCGGGUUCCAAAGAUGGUGCGUAGUGGCGGUGCCUGGGCGGGGCCAGCAGGGGGGCGGGGACAGGAGGCGGAGCCAGACCUGACAGGAAGUGGUUUGUUUCUCAUGCCAAACUUUUGGAGCCUGAGUAGAAAGCAAAAGUUGUAUUCAAGUUACCCUCAACAUAACACAUAUAUUUAUAUAUUCAAUUUACCUACACCCUUUCUUGUUUGUUU
ensembl:lncRNA